rnacentral:RNase_P_RNA from 1 species
GGGAUCAGGUAAGGGUGAAAGGGUGCGGUAAGAGCGCACCGCGCGGCUGGUAACAGUCCGUGGCACGGUAAACUCCACCCGGAGCAAGGCCAAAUAGGGGUUCAUAAGGUACGGCCCGUACUGAACCUGGGUAGGCUGCUUGAGCCAGUGAGCGAUUGCUGGCCUAGAUGAAUGACUGUCCACGACAGAACCCGGCUUAUCGGUCAGCUUCAACU